GCCGCCCUGCAGAUGCUGGACCUGCCGGCACCUGUGACACUGGGGCAGAGAGGGAACAGCUAUUUCUACACUCAGUGCUCAGAACAGUGGGCACUAAGAAUGGUUUGUAGCCGGACAUUG